rnacentral:rRNA from 1 species
UACGGAGGGUGCGAGCGUUGUCCGGAAUCACUGGGCGUAAAGGGCGCGUAGGUGGCCUUGUAAGCGGGCGGUGAAAGUCCGGGGCUCAACCCCGGAUCGGCCGUGCGGACUGCGAGGCUCGAGCACUGUAGAGGCCGGUGGAAUUCCGGGUGUAGCGGUGGAAUGCGUAGAGAUCCGGAGGAACACCAGUGGCGAAGGCGGCCGGCUGGGCAGUGGCUGACACUGAGGCGCGACAGCGUGGGGAGCAAACAGG